UACGGGGGGGGCAAGCGUUGUUCGGAAUUACUGGGCGUAAAGGGCUCGUAGGCGGCCAACUAAGUCAGACGUGAAAUCCCUCGGCUUAACCGGGGAACUGCGUCUGAUACUGGAUGGCUUGAAUCCGGGAGAGGGAUGCGGAAUUCCAGGUGUAGCGGUGAAAUGCGCAGAUAUCAGGAGGAACACCGGUGGCGAAGGCGGAUCUCUGGGCCAUUACUGACGCUGAGGAGCGAAGGUCAGGGGAGCAAACGGG
rnacentral:rRNA from 1 species